rnacentral:lncRNA from 1 species
UACAGUCCUUCAGGAGCAAGAUGUGAUGGUGGUGUGUCAAUGCCUUGUAUGAGACAACACUGGAGAGCUGGCAUCUCUUCCUCCAGCAGGAUGACAAUCUCAGCUAGUGGCCAAAUAGAGCAGCAGAGUCUUAUUUCUCUCGGGAUGGAAAACUUCUCUGUGGGGCUCCUGGUUGCAAGGAUAAGGCUGCUGUAAUGGAGCGUAUUGGUUUGUUUGUAAAGUAAAAUAACAUUCCUAAGAACCAUGAAGUUCUCCAAAAGUCUUCCAGCAGGAAUAGUGAUGAUAAAAUGAUAAAGUUCACUACUUUUAUGAUGGACUUCAACUUCACAUUAUUCUUUUCCCUCAGUGCUCCAUGACCUUUGCAAAGAGCAAAAGAGAAAAGCAUUAUUUAUUCAUUACUUAAAGUAAAAGGCUUAACAGAGCAAGAGCACAAUGGCACUCUUCAGUCUUUUACUCUGAACUGUAACGGUACAAAUCAGAGGACUGAUUUUACAAAAUCUAUUUAUCUUUCUUUUUAAAUAUGGAUGUCUAUAAAUGCUCUGCUAACCUGUACCUGCAAAUUCCACUCAAAUCUAUGGUCA